ACAAGCGGCGAGGGAUUAUCGCCGCCUACCUGUAGACCAGACCUACACAACCUGCUGGCCCAAUUAGAAUAACGCAAAUUUGAGGAAGAAUCACGUGACAGCAGCACGACGAAAAUCAGGAUCACCGCUCGUCUCGACACUCUUCGUUCAGUUUUCUCUAAAAACAGACGUGUUCUUGUUACCUUUAACAAAGUUUAUCGUACCGUUAUUGCAUCUUCCGUACCUGUCAUAUCUCUUUUUCACGCGUCAUAUUUAAAAUUCGUUGGUCGGCUAACACUCCUAGAAGCCUUGGCAACUUUUCAGUGAGAAUCGAUGUUCGAGCAAUUAUUGAAAAGAUUCACUUGGUGGGAACGUGGUGAUCAAGUCUUGCCAUUCUACAAAACCCAGAUGUAUCGAAUUUACUUUGAGGCCGCAUGUAAGUCCAGCAACGUUCCUCGACCAAAUCGCGUACUAUAAAAGAGAUGUAUCAGAAGUUAUAAGGGUGGCGGAAAAACAACAUUUGAUCAACCAAAAAAAAAAAAAUCUGGCUAUCUUAACUCGGACAAAACACCUAGUGGUAUCGUUGCAAAUCAAAAUCGCCAGUUUCGGGAUAUGUAUCCCGGCACAUCAAAUGAAGAUAAUGAUAAGGACACUGAUGAGUCACAAUCUGACGAAUAAGACGAAAAUUACUCAUUGUCAGAGGCGGAAGGUGAGGACGACUAUGAUGGGGCAAGGGACGAAUUUCUUUAGAUACCCAUAUGGAAGUAAAGCGAAACAGAAAAGCCGAAGGAGUUAAACAUUACUUUGUCAGAUAGAAAUUGUAAUGUGGACGUGAUCCAGUUUCGAAGGGUCAUGGAGUCUCAUAAUAUUAUUUCAUAAAGUAGAUAUUAUUAUCACGAAAGGAAAUACGUAUUGUGCCAGUAUCUUUCAAGUUUUUGAUUACCCGUACUAUUAUUCACUAUAUGUUCGUAGUAUCAUACCUGAAAUAUGUUUUAUAUAAAUUUUAUCUUAUUGAAAACUGUUUCCGGUUGCAUAAUUUUAUAUUUUUCAACUUGAGUAUCUCAGGCGUGUUUCAACGUACAGGCCCAAGUGCAAUAUAUAAAGGUUGUAAUUACAUAUAAUUGAAAGCAACACGUCUAAUAUCUAGUCUUUGAAUACGUUUACUACUAUUACCGUAUUGUUCAGGUAUAUACAUGUUCAGGUAAUACAGAUUAUAUUUCAGGACUUUUUUUUCUAUUGAUCUUGAAUGAUAAAUCAACUCCCAAUAUUCGCUGUGAGCCUCGCUCGUGCCGCCACCUAGCGGUUUUAAAAGCUAAACAGCCAGCGUGUUUAUUUACAUUAGAGUAAUACUGAUAAAUAUCGAAAUAAAUAAAAUAUUAUUAAAUAAGUGAUAUUUUCAUU